UUGAUGAGUCUGAAAUUUCAAUUUAUUGAGUCAUGUGUCAUUAUUUGAUUAUCACUAAGUUGGCUCAAUGAAUGUUACAGAAUUUGGAUCAACAGCCUCAUCAAGAUUAUGGAUCAUAAACCCAAGGCAAAAGGAAAGCAUGGAGAGGCCUCAAAGCCCAAGAAACACAACAGAAGCUCAAUAUAGAAAGUGUAUAAAUAGGAUAGAAUUUAAGUUAGGA
rnacentral:lncRNA from 1 species